rnacentral:lncRNA from 14 species
CAUAUUGCCUUGGCCUGAGAAAAGAAGGGGCUGAAUCCAUACUGUAGCUUUCCUCUGUUUCCAUCCCUUUGGAAGAGGGGGGGAAGUUGUCACUGAAAUCCCAAAGAGGUUGAUGUCUUUGCAGGGACAACUCUGGUUUCACUCAAGCUGGCAGAGGUCAGAGGAGGCUCUGCGUGACUGUUUGCUGAAGUCUUCAUCUAGAGAUGACUACUGUUUGAUUCUGAGAUAGCAGAGACAGCCCAAAACCACUGACAUAAGCAGUUCCUGAGGGGUGCACCUUCCAGAAUUGAGAAGCUAUACAGAGAACUUCUGGCACUGGAACAGUCAGAAGAGAAGAAAACAUGCUGAUAUGAUUUAACUUCAGUCAUAACUCAUGCACCCAAAAUGUAACAAAACGAACAACGCCAAGAACAAACUAGCAGCUAUUGAUAAAAUUUGAAGGGAGUCUGAUGCAGUUCCAGAGGCAGGAAGCCAUGGGAUCAAAGGGAAUUAGGAUCUUCCCUGUAGUGACUGAAGUCACCAGGCUCAUGAAGAGAGACUAAAAGAAGAUGUAUGGGGACUCUCCUGUCUUUGUGGAGAAGAGCAAUGUGCUCUACAAAGCUGGGUGAACAGCCUACCCCAUCAGCACAGGAAAACCUGGGCUGGGAAGAGAAAUCCAAGCAGAAAAUUGCUUCAGCCAUGGCUGGCCUCAGAAGGUUAAUCACAGAGGCACAGGAGAAAUAUGGGCAAGAUCAAGUGGAAAUCUGAGGAGGUGGAUGCUGAACACACAGAUAAAAUCUCUGUACUACAUGUAAUCCUGUCUUUUCUCUGAUUUGCCUAGGAAUCAUCUUGCAGUGCCCCUCUGGUGGCGGCUAUGCCACAUGGAAGUGCUCAUGUUCAGCUGGUUCGUGUAAUUCAUCCUUCACUGUCUGUGUUAUUUCGCUUGUAGUUUUGUGUAAGACCAAUUUAAAAAUAAACAUAAGCCUUGCAGAC